UCAGAGCCCUCAGUGAAGUCCCAGGCUAACCCCAUUUGCUUUCCCUUACCGUUCAUGUUUCAGCGUCCAUAUUAAUGAGCGACAUCAGCAAGGAAUGGAAGAUAAUAAGAAAUUGGCUUAUCUUGUUGAUAUUAAGACUAUUGCUGUCGGUCUGGAGCGCAGCGGGGGGAAAGACCCAGGUGAUGGUGACAGAAGGUGUGACCACCAUUGCCUGCACGCUGGAUGAGGGCCUCAUUGAGUUUGGAACCGCCAUCGAUGACGGCAACUACACCCGAAUGCUGUUGAGGCUAUGAACAUGUACCAAGAGCUACACCGUUGGUACGAGUGUAUCACUGUGGCUGAGGCCAAGGUAC
rnacentral:lncRNA from 1 species